GAUGAACGCUGGCGGCGUGCUUAACACAUGCAAGUCGAACGGUGAAGGCAGAGCUUGCUCUGCUGGAUCAGUGGCGAACGGGUGAGUAACACGUGAGCAAUCUGCCCCUGACUCUGGGAUAAGCGCUGGAAACGGCGUCUAAUACUGGAUACGAGCUGCGCAGGCAUCUUCAGCAGCUGGAAAGAACUUCGGUCAGGGAUGAGCUCGCGGCCUAUCAGCUUGUUGGUGAGGUAACGGCUCACCAAGGCGUCGACGGGUAGCCGGCCUGAGAGGGUGACCGGCCACACUGGGACUGAGACACGGCCCAGACUCCUACGGGAGGCAGCAGUGGGGAAUAUUGCACAAUGGGCGAAAGCCUGAUGCAGCAACGCCGCGUGAGGGACGACGGCCUUCGGGUUGUAAACCUCUUUUAGCAGGGAAGAAGCGAAAGUGACGGUACCUGGAGAAAGAGCGCCGGCUAACUACGUG
rnacentral:rRNA from 1 species